rnacentral:rRNA from 1 species
CACGUAGUUAGCCGUCCCUUUCUGGUAAGAUACCGUCACAGUGUGAACUUUCCACUCUCACACUCGUUCUUCUCUUACAACAGAGCUUUACGAUCCGAAACCUUCUUCACUCACGCGGCGUUGCUCGGUCAGACUUCCGUCCAUUGCCGAAGAUUCCCUACUGCUGCCUCCCGUAGGAGUCUGGGCCGUGUCUCAGUCCCAGUGUGGCCGAUCACCCUCUCAGGUCGGCUAUGUAUCGUUGCCUUGGUGAGCCGUUACCUCACCAACUAGCUAAUACAACGCAGGUCCAUCUGGUAGUGGUGCAUUUGCACCUUUCAAGCAGCUAUCAUGCGAUAUCUACUGUUAUGCGGUAUUAGCUAUCGUUUCCAAUAGUUAUCCCCCGCUACCAGGCAGGUUACCUACGCGUUACUCACCCGUUGCAACUCAUCCGGAAAAGAGCAAAGCUCCUUCCUUCAGCGUUCUACUUGCAUGUAUUAGGCACGCCGCCAGCGU